GAUGAAGAACGCAGCGAAAUGCGAUAAGUAAUGUGAAUUGCAGAAUUCAGUGAAUCAUCGAAUCUUUGAACGCACAUUGCGCCCGCCAGUAUUCUGGCGGGCAUGCCUGUUCGAGCGUCAUUUCAACCAUCAAGCCCCCGGCUUGUGUUGGGGACCUGCGGCUGCCGCAGGCCCUGAAAACCAGUGGCGGGCUCGCUAGUCACUCCGAGCGUAGUAAUACAUCUCGCUCAGGGCGUGCUGCGGGUUCCGGCCGUUAAAAAGCCUUAUUUACCCAAGGUUGACCUCGGAUCAGGUAGGAAGACCCGCUGAACUUAAGCAUGUCAAUAAGCGGAGGA
rnacentral:misc_RNA from 1 species